UCACAAAGAAGGCACUUAAAGCUCUCGGGCCACGGUCAGUGGUUACAGACCUGGGCUAUCCAUCUGAAUCAUUUAGGAGCAUUAGAAAACAAUCGCGUCUCAGUUCCUCCUCCAGAGAUUCUGACUUGGUCUUGGGUACACGCGGACAUUGGGAUUCACAAAUGCUCCAUAGCGGAAUUGUUCUUGUCAUCAGAAUGUUGAAGGAUGCGAACACCCACGCCUCAUGGCAGCAGCAGCUCUGGGCGCACCUGUAUCCCAGCUACUCAGGAGACUGAGGUAGGACAAUCGCUUGAGCCUACCAGGCUGAGGCUGCAGUGAGCCGAGAUGGCACCGCUCCACUCCUGCCUGGGUGGAAGAGUGAGACGCUGUGGUCCCAAAUACUCACGAGGCUGAGCGGGGAGGACCCCUCGUCCCUGGAAGUUUGAGACUCCAGUGAGCCAUGUUCGCGCCACUGCACUCCAACCACCCUGCAGGCAAAUUGGGGGUUGUCACAACCCCCUCCCCAGGAAAAACACUCGCGUCUCAGUUCCUCCUCCAGAGAUUCUGACUUGGUCUUGGGUACACGCGGACAUUGGGAUUCACAAAUGCUCCACAGCGGAAUUGCUCUUGUCAUUAGAAUGUUGAAGGAUGCGAACACCCACGCCUCAUGGCAGCAGCAGCUCUGGGCGCACCUGUAUCCCAGCUACUCAGGAGACUGAGCUCAAUGAGAACUGGAAGUGAGGAAAAAAUGUAAGGAAGACAGGAGGAAAAAGGAGAAAGAGAGGAGAGAUUAUUCUCAAUCCCAAAGAUAGACGCAGAUUGGAACUUUCAGCUCUGACCUUUCGGCUGAGACAAGAUUUCUAAGGGGAGAAGAAUGAACACAUGCAAAGAAUGGGGCGCUCACAUGCUACUCAAAUGAGGCACACAGGUCUCAUGAACCUUCUGAGAAGAACAACGGGUGAUAAGUUUGAUCACUGAGUCAAUAAAUGUGCCAGCUAUAAUGCCAGACGCAGUGAUAAGCCAUCACUUACCUUCAAUGCUUAUCAGUUACCACUCAAAUGCCUUUUCUCUUGGAUAGAAGAAAAGACCAAGUGUCAUUUUCUUAAUACUUCAUUCUGUGUUCAUCUAAGAAGUCCCAGAUCUAGGUGACUUUAGAAAAGUCACUUAGAAUUAUACGAAAGCACACUUAUUAGACUCAGUAAUCUUUGCCAAGAAAAAUAUCUUGGUUGAAAGAAUUCUCAACUACAACAAUGACUGCAAUCAAAAGGAACUCAUUUACAUACAAAUGGAUCUUCCCGAAGAAGGCAAAAAGGAAAAUCCCACUUUCUGAUUUGGAGCAGCAACAAGCUACUAAUAUAGUCAAGGCAAGGCAGCCUCUGUCCUCUGGAUGCCUCCAUUAAGAUGACUAAGGGCUUUAUCAAGCCCAUCUAAGUUUAUGACUAUGUUAACUCUCUAGUGCUCUUUAUUUGAGCUCCAAGGAGCCACUGUUUUACUCAUCCCUCUCAUCAUCUAACCUGAGCUCAAGUACUCUCACCUGGGUGUGACUCAAACUGAGCUACCCUUUACUUUCCUCUGGACCCCUCUUCCUUAAUCUGCCUCAGUUCCUUCAAGAAAGACAAAGAUAAAAGAUUUGGAGACACCACAAAUGAACCUCAUCCCAAGGUUUACAGCCACCUUUACAGCUGAGAAGAGCACUUCUGAGAGGCAAUUCCAAGGAAUACCACCCACUGAUACACCCAGUGGAGAACAGUCUGUGCUUGGGGAAUGGAAUUUACCUGCUGUUAUACUCUUCAGACGUCAUUGGUCCAUAAGGAAAAGACACUCAAACCUAUAAGCCUCCCAGGCUUUGCUCUGGAGCCUUACUGAUCAGAGCCUCAUGUGCACUCCCUUGGAAGGUUGUCUGGGAUCAGGGGGUCUGCCCUUUCCUCCUGAGUCUCAGCAAGGGAUGGGGCAGGCAGGACUUAAUGACCUGAAGGAGAGAAGCCACCCAUGUGGCCCAACAGUUCAUCCUAGGAAAUGACCGUCCAGCUGGUACACAACUAAAUAAACAUAUAUUCCCAAAUCCACCAAAUUCUUCAAGGCACUUGGCUAAGAUAAACCAAUAUAUGAUCAACCUAGAACCACUUUAAGAAUUUAUUCCUAAAGAAACAGCAGGUGGCAGCAAAGCUUUACUUUUUUUUUUUUACCCUUUGGCCUGGAAUGAAAACAAAGUGUCACCGAAUAAUCUCUCUGAGUCAGCCAGCUGGCCCAGAAACGGGCACAUUAACAUCUUGUAACGUGAAGGGUAUUGCAUCUUCUCAUGUGGGCUCUAUUCAUUUUGACAAAAGAACACGACACCCCCACCCCCAGGCCAGAGGCCUGCCUGGUUCUGUAGGCCAAGCUGGAAAGUGACUGCCACUGAAUGACCAGAUCACAGAGGCUGUGGCCGAGUUUCAUAUUCAUUUUCCCAGUAUCAAGGUGUUGCUCAUUCGCAAUGUGGAGGCCCUCAAAGAAACCUGAGUAUGAUUAAGUGGAAGUAUGCCUAAGAACUGAGUAUGCACCUGACGGCAUUUUCACUGUCUAUUAUGAUAUAAUCCAUGGCAGAAAUGUGGGAGCAAAAAAAAAAGUGGAGGAGAAAAUGGGAGUUAAUAAAAUCUGGUUUCUGGUGUACUUAGAGAUUUAGAGGUCUCUGAAAGCUGCAUCACCACCCCACAGCUGCUGCAGCUUGGGCUCAGGAGCAGGCAGUGCCAAGACCACUGUCUGUUUUGGCCUCAAAUAUCUUCCUUGACUUAGUAUUGUGCUUGGCUCCCAGCUUCCAAGUUGUGGCUGGAAAGUUUCCAUUGUCACAGUGCAGCACUGGAGUUUAGAACCCAAGCUUUUGCUGAAUUGUUUUGCAGAGCAAAUCCAGUUUUGCCUUUAAGAAGUGACUGGUCAGUUUGUUCCAUCCCAAAAUGGUGAUUCAGAUCUCUCUCAGACACACUUUAGACUGAGAUACUUUUUUUUCCCCCUUAGAUUAAAGAAGGGGGAUUUCUUUAUCUUGCCCAGGCUGGUCUUAAACUCCUGACCUCAAGUAAGGCUUCUGUCUCAGCCUCCCAAAAUGCUGGGAUUACAGGCCUGAGAUACCUUGCCCAGGCUGAGAUGCUUAAUUUCCUUAUAAGAGGAAAUUAUCUUAUCAUUUAAAGUAGAAAUGGAGGGAUGGAGGAAGGUAGGGGUAGGGCUGGAGGAUUUUGAAUUAUUAUUUUUUUAAAAAUAAAGAUUGUUCAGGAAAAAGAUAAAGCUGAGGACUUGGUUUCCAGGAUCGCACACAGAUUUUGCAAACAUGUAUUUGUGAGUUUUCUUUUUGGAAGUAGAAUUGACAGAAAAGUGAGUAGAGUAGCUUUAACUCUAUAGCAGCAUAACUCCUGGUGACCAAAGAGAACAUUCCUAAAAGGUGCAGUGGAGGUAGAAUAAGUUCAUUUACUUACGUGACAUGCGGCCUCAGUCCCAAACACCUUUUUUGUUUUCUUUGUCUGCACAAAAUACGAUUUUGUUCUGACAACUUAAAGAAGGACAAACUUCACAGCUCUCAGCCCAGAAAGGGUCAUUUAAGAUUAUCUAAUAAGGAAAACAUUGUAUAAUUCCUUUCAAUGUAAUAAACAAUAUCUUUUGGGGCAACUUGCAGCAAAUAUUCCAAAUUUCACAUCAACAUUUAAUUCUCCCUCUGUGUGUACGUUCUACACUCCACAAAUACAAUGUGAAAGCAUUUAAUGCAGAGAAUUGACAGCACCAGGAAAAUAUGUGGGCUAUCUGGAGUUGCCAUUAUUGGCUUUAAUUAUGACCUCCUGGCUCUUGGGUCCUAAAGCAGCCAGAAAAUGAGAUAUGUGUGCCAAAAUAUUCAUUAGAAUUCCCUUCUCAGUCAUUGUUCAGAAAGAGCAAGUUUCCUUCUGGCUCCCAUCUUCAGUAUCUUAAGUGGAGUUAUUAAUAUGCCAGAUUUUUUAAAGGAUCAGUCAGUAAACAAGAUUAUGUGCAUACCUUGUAUUUUGCAUUUUAAAAAUCUUGAAAAGGUCAAAUGUACCCUUUGCUCUUGUCGUAUUACUGUGAAGAAAGAAUUGUUUUUGCAGUGUUAACCGGUACUCUCCACCCAGGCCUCCUCAUCCAAGCCCUGCUCUCUUGAGCUGACUUGAUCUUACACUCUUUGGAACUGAAAGUACUGAUGAAGCACAGCUUGAGUCUCCCAAGGAACUAGUCAGAAAGAUGGUUUAAUUUUUCCCACUUUUCGAUGUUCAUUUCUCCCUGAUUAUAAGACCUUAGAAGGCUGGAGUCAGAGGGGAGGAAUCUCUGAGGUCCUUGAUGCCAUGUCCUCAUUUUAAAGAUGAUUAAUCUAAGGAGAAGCGGCAUAUCCACUGCUUCACCUUUGUGUUCUGGCAUUGAGAAAGAACAGGUGCUUUUUUAAAAAAAAAAAAAACCACAGCAUCCUUAGUCGUUACUCUUAAACAGAGUUGCUAUUUAAUGAGCUUAUACUACACUGCCAGGCAGGGGUUGAUGCUUUCAUCCAUGUUAUAUCAUCCAUCCUUACAACAAGCCAAUAAGGUAAAUAUUACUAUCCCCAUUUUAUAGCUAAUGAAACUGAGACUUGGGUUAAGAGAUUUGCCCAUAAUUACAGGACUAGGAGGAGGGAGAGUCUGUGUGUAAACUCAAAGUUGUCUAACUUCAAAGCCUGUGUCCUUUACUAUACCACUUCCCUGCCUGCCAAAUGAAACAAGACCACCCUAGAAAUCAGUUGGCAUAUCUUGGGCUCUCACAUUGCCUUAAUUUUUCAAGUUAUGGGGUGAAGAAAGGGUCCUCUAUAGCGAUGAAGCGGAGAGAGAUGCCUGUGCCCAAGCAGUCUCCACUUAUCGGAAUGUAAAAGGGAUAAACAGGGACCAUAUAGAUGCAACUCUCCCUAUUAUCUACUUGUCACGUUUAACGUGACGGUUCACCCUAUAAGCUUUUGAAAGACUUCCCAGUUUUUAAUAAAAGUUGGCUGAUUUGGUCUUGACAAUUUGUCUUUCAUUUAAUAGAAAAUUGGUUGGGCAAUUUGGGUUAGAUGCUUAUUUUGGGAAAAAAAUAAUUUGUAGUUUCAUUUUCUCUCUCUCUCUCUCUCUCUCUGUGUGUGUGUGUGUGUGUGCGCGCGCGCGCGUGCACUCAAGGUCAUCUAGGGCUGGGAGAGCAGAUGUGGUGUGAAUUAAGGAAGUUUAUCUGAUGAUUGUCUGCAGUGGCACAGAUGAUGGGGUUAUUGCCUGGAAAUGUUUGUGUUUUCCAUGGAAACAUGGUUUCUAAAACUCUGAUGUUUUAGAAAAACUAAUAAAGUUAAGAUCAAGUUGGAAUGUUAUGUGUUAAAUUUAAGAGCAUGAGAUGAAGACAUCUGGGCAAACAUCUAAAUUU